GACGAACGCUGGCGGCGUGCUUAACACAUGCAAGUCGAACGAAGAGCGAUGGAAGCUUGCUUCUAUCAAUCUUAGUGGCGAACGGGUGAGUAACGCGUAAUCAACCUGCCCUUCAGAGGGGGACAACAGUUGGAAACGACUGCUAAUACCGCAUACGAUCUAAACUCGGCAUCGAGGAUAGAUGAAAGGUGGCCUCUACAUGUAAGCUAUCACUGAAGGAGGGGAUUGCGUCUGAUUAGCUAGUUGGAGGGGUAACGGCCCACCAAGGCGAUGAUCAGUAGCCGGUCUGAGAGGAUGAACGGCCACAUUGGGACUGAGACACGGCCCAGACUCCUACGGGAGGCAGCAGUGGGGAAUCUUCCGCAAUGGACGAAAGUCUGACGGAGCAACGCCGCGUGAGUGAUGACGGCCUUCGGGUUGUAAGCUCUGUUAAUCGGGACGAAAGGCCUUCUUGCGAAUAGUGAGAAGGAUUGACGGUACCGGAAUAGAAAGCCACGGCUAACUACGUG
rnacentral:rRNA from 1 species